GAAAACAAAGAACGAACUCACGUUAUUUACCUAAGCUUCCACGGGAAGAAAGCGAACCUGGGUGAAAAGUCAGACUAUGAAGAUUAAACACCACGCAAACCAGCAGGAACACGGCAGGGUUAGAAAAAUAACCUUCCCAAACAUUACACAAAACCUCCCACACGCCACGGAAAAACAACAUCUCCCGGAGUGUAAAAAGCCAUGAGGCACAAGCGCAGUUAAGCUCCUUCUUUGGCAAACCUUAAGGAGAAAACAAGAGACUCAAGCCCCCUAACGAGGAGCAAAAGGAUGGAUAUCUCUGGCCGCCUGCAGAGACAAUGCUAAGGAGAUCGUACCCCCUUGUACAGUGAGGGCGAACGUAAGCUCGGGUCAAGAACUUGCAACACUUUUUUCCAGUUAAGUGACUGAAGUCUCAUUCUUUGAAAUAAUAGGUUUAAAGGAAAUCUAUGGCUUUAACUUGAAAAUAUAUUGUUUGCAUUUGAUCCCGGUUAUGCAAAUGAACGCUGAGUCCCGCCCCCCCCCCGAGAUUCUUGCCCGACCUCGGCCGGCCGAAGCCCGCUUCCCGGGACCCUGACUACAUCUCUUCUGCUCCUCGAGACUCUGCGUGUGAUUUCUUUGGGGUAAAGGAUUUUGUUGACUGCUUAAGAAAACGUCGGAGCUCUGCAUUUGACACGAGACACGGUUCACAACAUAAUAUCAAGUGAAAGGCCGUGAAGCAUGUGGGAUCUCAGCUCCUCGACAAGGGGUUGAACCCAUUCCCCCUGCAUUGGAAGGCGAAGUCUUAACCACUGGACCGCCAGGGAAGUCCCCUAUUCUUUAUAUUAAAUUUUUU